rnacentral:rRNA from 1 species
AGUGAACGCUGGCGGUAGGCCUAACACAUGCCAGUCGAACGGCAGCACAGUAAGAGCUUGCUCUUACGGGUGGCGAGUGGCGGACGGGUGAGGAAUACAUCGGAAUCUACUUUUUCGUGGGGGAUAACGUAGGGAAACUUACGCUAAUACCGCAUACGACCUACGGGUGAAAGCAGGGGAUCUUCGGACCUUGCGCGAUUGAAUGAGCCGAUGUCGGAUUAGCUAGUUGGCGGGGUAAAGGCCCACCAAGGCGACGAUCCGUAGCUGGUCUGAGAGGAUGAUCAGCCACACUGGAACUGAGACACGGUCCAGACUCCUACGGGAGGCAGCAGUGGGGAAUAUUGGACAAUGGGCGCAAGCCUGAUCCAGCCAUACCGUGUGGGUGAAGAAGGCCUUCGGGUUGUAAAGCCCUGUUGUUGGGAAAGAAAAGCAGCAGGUUAAUACCCCGCUGUUCUGACGGUACCCAAAGAAUAAGCACCGGCUAACUUCGUG